GACGAACGCUGGCGGCGCGCUUAACACAUGCAAGUCGAGCGAGAACCCAGGCUUCGGCCUGGGGGAAAGCGGCGAACGGGUGAGUAACACGUGGGUAAUCUGCCCUCGGCAUCGGGAUAGCCCGGGGAAACCCGGAUUAAUACCGAAUGGCCCAGCAGCUCUUCGGGGCGGCUGGAAAAGGUAGCUUCGGCCUCCGGCCGAGGAGGAGCCCGCGGCGGAUUAGCUUGUUGGUGGGGUAACGGCCUACCAAGGCUCCGAUCCGUAGCUGGUCUGAGAGGACGAUCAGCCACACUGGGACUGAGACAAGGCCCAGACUCCUACGGGAGGCAGCAGUGGGGAAUCUUGCGCAAUGGGCGAAAGCCUGACGCAGCGACGCCGCGUGAGGGAAGAAGGCCUUCGGGUUGUAAACCUCUUUCAGGAGGGACGAAGCCACUCGGGUUAAUAGCCCAGAGGGUGACGGUACCUCCAGAAGAAGCCCCGGCUAACUACGUGCCAGCCGCCGCGGUAAAAC
rnacentral:rRNA from 1 species